CCUACGGGGGGCAGCAGUGAGGAAUAUUGCACAAUGGGCGAAAGCCUGAUGCAGCAACGCCGCGUGAGCGAUGAAGGCCUUCGGGUCGUAAAGCUCUGUCCUCAAGGACGAUAAUGACGGUACUUGAGGAGGAAGCAGCGGCUAACUACUUGCCAGCAGCCGCGGUAUUAGUUAGGGGGCUAGCGUUCUCCGGAUUUACUGGGCGUAAAGGGUGCGGCGGUGGUUUAUUAAGUCAGAGGUGAAAGGCUAUGGUCCAACCGUAGUAAGACUCUGAAACUGUGGAACUUGAGUGCAGGAGAGGAGAGUGGAAUUUCUAGUGUAGCGGUGAAAUGCGUAGAGAUUAGGAGGAACACCAGUUGCGAAGGCGGCUUUCUGGACUGUAACUGACACUGAGGCACGAAAGCGUGGGGAGCAAACAGGAUUAGAUACCCGGGUAGUC
rnacentral:rRNA from 1 species